GAUGAACGCUGGCGGCGUGCCUAAUACAUGCAAGUCGAGCGAACAGACGAGGUGCUUGUUCCUCUUACGUUAGCGGCGGACGGGUGAGUAACACGUGGAGAACCUACCUAUAAGACUGGGAUAACUUCGGGAAACCGAUGCUAAUACCGGAUAAUAUCUUGAAACGCAUGGUUCAAUAGUGAAAGACGCAUUUGCUUUACCUAAUGAUUAGAUCCCGGCCGCAUAAGCAAGUUGUUAAGGUAACGCCUUCCCAAGGGAAGAUUCAGUGGCCACCCUGGAAGGUGGAUCGGCAACACUGGAACUGGGCCACGGUCCAACUCCCUACGGGAGCAACCAUAAGGGAACUUCCCGCAAUGGGCGAAGGCCUGCCGGGGCAACGCGGCGUGAGUGAUGAAGGUCUUGGGAUCGUAAACCUCUGUUAUUAGGGAAGACCAAAUGUGUAAGUAAAUAUUCACGAAUUGACGGUAACUACUCAGAAAGCCACGGCUAACUACGUG
rnacentral:rRNA from 1 species